CCCACACUUCCGUUUGCUUUUUCCUGGUGCCACACCUUCAAUGGCUCAUAAAGUUUUGGAAAGGGCUCAGUGA
ensembl:ncRNA R13H4.9 ncRNA